GUGCCUGCUUCGGCAGCACACAUACUAAAAUUGAAACGAUACAGAGAUUAGCAUGGCCUCUGCGCAAGGAUGACACACAAAUUUGUGAAGCAUUCCAUAUUUUU